rnacentral:tRNA from 1 species
GGGUUGUUAGCUCAGUUGGUAGAGCAGCUGACUCUUAAUCAGCGGGUCGAGGGUUCGAAUCCCCCACAUCCCA